UUUUGUUUCUGUCCCGUCCUGUGGCUCCCUACAGUCACACAAAAGAGAAAAUAAAAAGCCCAGAGAGGAUGUGGCUUAGCAAACAGUUGACUAUUUGAGUACUAAGCAGACAUGGAGCAACGUUAGCAUUAAUUUGGAGUCGUGUGUCUGUCCACAUGAAUGAAUUGAGCCAGGCCUUGGGCUGCCAGCGGAGGAUGUGAAGUCAAGCCAGGGAGCCAAGGCCACUGUCAGCUCGCAGUGGUUAGAAUAACCCAGUGGAACCUCCUGGGAACAGGGCUGGGAUCAGACCACCGCUGGCAGGGAGCAUGCCGUCAGCAGCAGCAGCCGCCACCGCCACCGCCACAGGUACGGAUUCAUGGCAGUGAGGACCAGCAGGAUUCUGGGAGGGAAUUUGUGAGACAAGGCUUUAAUGAGAGUGAGGCCUCGUCAGCCAGCGACAAAUGUAUGCAAAUGAUAUGCACACACCAAAAGGACCCUGGGUAGGAGAGGCGAGCGCCGGCCGAGCUCCUGCUGAGCUCUGAGGAAGAUGAGCGGCUCAGGUCAGAAGAAUGACAACAAAACACCUCCUCCUCCUCCUCCUCCUCCUUUUCUUCUUCUCUUUCUUUUUCUUUAUGCUGCAGCUAGAAGAGCAGAGAAACAUGUAAUCUGCUGAACACAUAAGUUGAGAGAUGAGUUUGUAGUGUUGUUGUUGAUGUGUUUUAGUUUCAGGACUGCUGUUGCUAGGUUGUUUUUUAUUUUCUUUCUGUUAUUCAUCUUUGUAAGCACGCUGACAUUUGUAGGGUAAAUUAUCCAGAGAUUAAACACAUCUGUGUUUUACAUCCAGACUUUCCAGAUGUUUAAUUGUCAUAAAUUAUUACUGUAAAUAUAAAAAUAAAACUCGAGCUGAGCAUAGAUCUCGCAUUUUGCCCUGUAAUUGUGCUUAUGGAAGUAAUUUUUGUUAAUAGAGUAAUCUGACAGUAACUUCUUUUGACACUUGACACAUUUGGAAACUUAAGCUCACAACGUGGUCAUUUAAGCAUCACAGUGUAGCGUAUGCAAAAGGCCGAGAUGUAAGUGAAAUGACCUGUUUUAAUUCUUCAAUAAACUGCAUUUUUCAACAAUUACAAAAACAGUUUUAGUUGGAAGUUAUUUACAUUUUGAUGGCAAAUGCAACCUUUUUUUUAAUUUCAGUAUCUCCA